rfam:Schistosoma haematobium scaffold279_12, whole genome shotgun sequence.
GCAGUUCUGAGGAGUCCCACAAUAGGACGAAACGGCCGUCCAAUGC